AAUCUAACAGGAGUGCUUGCUUCAGCAGCAAUUUAGAGUAGAUUAGCAUGGCCUCUGCGCCAGGAUGACAUGCACAUUCCUAAAAGUGUUCCACAUUUAA
ensembl:snRNA U6 U6 spliceosomal RNA